rnacentral:rRNA from 1 species
CAGCAGCCACGGUAAUACGUAGGUGGCAAGCGUUGUCCGGAAUUAUUGGGCGUAAAGGGCUCGCAGGCGGUUUCUUAAGUCUGAUGUGAAAGCCCCCGGCUCAACCGGGGAGGGUCAUUGGAAACUGGGAAACUUGAGUGCAGAAGAGGAGAGUGGAAUUCCACGUGUAGCGGUGAAAUGCGUAGAGAUGUGGAGGAACACCAGUGGCGAAGGCGACUCUCUGGUCUGUAACUGACGCUGAGGAGCGAAAGCGUGGGGAGCGAACAGGAUUAGAUACCCGAGUAGUCCCUGUCUCUUAUAA